GAGUUUGAUCGUGGCUCAGAAUCAACGCUGGCGGCGUGCCUAACACAUGCAAGUCGAACGGCAGCACGGGGGCAACCCUGGUGGCGAGUGGCGAACGGGUGAGUAAUACAUCGGAACGUGUCCUGUAGUGGGGGAUAGCCCGGGCGAAAAGCCGGAUUAAUACCGCAUACGACCUAAGGGAGAAAGCGGGGGAUCUUCGGACCUCGCGCUAUAGGGGCGGCCGAUGGCAGAUUAGCUAGUUGGUGGGGUAAAGGCCUACCAAGGCGACGAUCUGUAGCUGGUCUGAGAGGACGACCAGCCACACUGGGACUGAGACACGGCCCAGACUCCUACGGGAGGCAGCAGUGGGGAAUAUUGGACAAUGGGCGCAAGCCUGAUCCAGCCAUACCGCGUGGGUGAAGAAGGCCUCGG
rnacentral:rRNA from 1 species